rnacentral:rRNA from 1 species
AUUCCAAGCUUGAGUUUGAUCCUGGCUCAGAUUGAACGCUGGCGGCAUGCCUUACACAUGCAAGUCGAACGGUAACAGGUCUUCGGAUGCUGACGAGUGGCGAACGGGUGAGUAAUACAUCGGAACGUGCCCGAUCGUGGGGGAUAACGAAGCGAAAGCUUUGCUAAUACCGCAUACGAUCUACGGAUGAAAGCGGGGGAUCUUCGGACCUCGCGCGGACGGAGCGGCCGAUGGCAGAUUAGGUAGUUGGUGGGAUAAAAGCUUACCAAGCCGACGAUCUGUAGCUGGUCUGAGAGGAUGAUCAGCCACACUGGGACUGAGACACGGCCCAGACUCCUACGGGAGGCAGCAGUGGGGAAUUUUGGACAAUGGGCGCAAGCCUGAUCCAGCCAUGCCGCGUGCAGGAUGAAGGCCUUCGGGUUGUAAACUGCUUUUGUACGGAACGAAAAGGUGCCUUCUAAUAAAGGGCGCUCAUGACGGUACCGUAAGAAUAAGCACCGGCUAACUACGUGCCAGCAGCCGCGGUAAUACGUAGGGUGCGAGCGUUAAUCGGAAUUACUGGGCGUAAAGCGUGCGCAGGCGGUUUUGUAAGACAGAGGUGAAAUCCCCGGGCUCAACCUGGGAACUGCCUUUGUGACUGCAAGGCUGGAGUGCGGCAGAGGGGGAUGGAAUUCCGCGUGUAGCAGUGAAAUGCGUAGAUAUGCGGAGGAACACCGAUGGCGAAGGCAAUCCCCUGGGCCUGCACUACGCUCUCAC